UAGGCAGGGGAUGUAUCGGCAUUGUGCUAUGACUAACACACUGUGUUUUGAAGCGUGCCCUGCAAUAUCAAUGCAGGGGAUAUGAGCAGUUAUGUUAUAAUUUCGGCAAUUAAAUUGUCAACACUCAUCUUCCCAGCAACA